GAGGCCCUAGCUUAAUUAAAGUAUCUGGGUUGCAUUCAGGAGAUGCAGGUUAGUACCCUGCGGGCUUUA
rnacentral:tRNA from 1 species